UACGUAGGGUGCGAGCGUUGUCCGGAAUUAUUGGGCGUAAAGAGCUCGUAGGCGGCUUGUCGCGUCGGAUGUGAAAGCCCGGGGCUUAACUCCGGGUCUGCAUUCGAUACUGGCAGUCUAGAGUUCGGUAGGGGAGAUCGGAAUUCCUGGUGUAGCGGUGAAAUGCGCAGAUAUCAGGAGGAACACCGGUGGUGAAGGCGGAUCUCUGGGCCGAUACUGACGCUGAGGAGCGAAAGCGUGGGGAGCGAACAGG
rnacentral:rRNA from 1 species